AUGGAGGUCGAGAAAGGACGCAAUAUGUCGCAGAUUGGAGGAUAUGGAUGGGCCCGUUUCCUUGCCCACAUGCGUCUUACUGGUGGUGAGUUGAUCAGCUUCUCCUUCAGAGCAGAAAGACCCAAGCUGGCUAUCAUUUAUCUCAACCUGGUGGAAGAUGACGAAGAUGAUGAAGACGACGAAGAUGAUGAAGAUAAUGAGGACCCACUAUAUGAAGAUGAUGAGAACCCACUUCAUGAAGCCAGCAUAGCUCAAAGAAUGAGGCUGAGCGAGGAGGAGGUGUGCAACCUAUGGGACAUAAUUCCGCCACGUGAUGACUUUGUCGGGGUGCCAUCCGUGACCCGCUUGACAAGUACCAUGGCCGAUCGGCAUGAAAUGAAAUUGCCAAAGAACCUAUCUAUGAGUUGUGGUAUUGAGCCUGAUGAAGAAGGCUCAGCUGGACUAUGCCUUACCGCAAGGGGCUCCGUCACCACCUGUACUUACCGCAUGGACACAGACGGUCGCACACACUUAAACUCGGUUGGGUGGAAGAGAUUCCUCGUUGGCAAGAAUCUUCGUGUUGGACAGGCCAUCCUAAUUACUAUCAGGAACACCGAGCGCCCAGGCUUGAGGAUGAUGAUCAUCGUCGAUAUCAUCUAG
rnacentral:rRNA from 1 species